ACCUCUUUUUCUUCUAGAGAAGCUUGUUCAGAUCACAGCGUGAGCCCGUGACGGGCUGGGGAGCAGACAUUUGGGAAAGAAGAGGAAGACAGAGGUCAAAGCUGAGGAGCCAGCUCUGCGUGGGGAUCCGGCAGAGGAUAGAAUCUGGCAGAACCCCGGCUUAGGGUCUGGAUGCCUGCGGAGAGAGAUUGUGGCUGGGAGUAGAAAAGGGGGGCAGUGGGGGGAGCCAAACUGGGAACCAGUCCAAAGCCACUAGUCUGCCAGGCCGAGAGGGGCCUUGGAGCACCAGCCUGUUAAGCGCCUGAUUAAUGAGUAAGCUGUGGGCUGUUCAGGUAAGGGUGCACCUGUGAUUUCCCUAAUCCCCCAAAGCUCGUCCCGUGGGCUCCCCGCACACCCGGGCGUUUUUCACUCUGACUGCGUGGCUAAGCCCGAGUUGUGCCGAUCAGCCCUUGGUGGGAGGGACCUCUGGGAACAAAGUUUUUUUUUGUUAAAUCUGGCUUUUGGUGGUUGGCUGUUCUUGAGCGUUAAGAGAAGUGGCUAUGAAAACAAAACCAGUUGCUUCAUAAACUUGGGAGCCCCAGCAGCUGUCGGGGACAAAAUCAAGUUCCAGCUACUGGAAGGGAAUACAGGAAGUGUGUCCCAACUUGGUCAGCUGGAGCGUGGCAACUGCCUAACAGUAAGAAUUUCCUCAGAGGAAGUCACUUCCAGGAGUCGAUGAGGGCCCGGAGGUCUGGCUGCCCCUUCUGGGCCCGUCAGCAUCGGGCGAUGGGAGCUGACAAUUGUCCCUGCAUGCUCGCUGCUGAUUCGGGGCAGGGUGUGGAGGAGGGGUGGAGUCAGGGGUCCUGGUUCUGGCGUCUCCUCUGACCCCAGAAACGUGAUACUCGGCAAGUCUCUUGACCCCACAGGGUCUGGCUUUCUCCACUUGUGGAAACAGCAUAAUUUAUCAUCUGAAUUUUAAA